UUUGAUCUAAUGUAUGGAGACUA
rnacentral:miRNA from 1 species